rnacentral:misc_RNA from 1 species
GGCUAUGGUUGAGUGGCCUGUGCCCAAGUCAAUUAAGGAAUUGAGAAUUUUUUGGGGCUAACUGGCUAUUACAGAAAAUUUAUUAGAAAUUAUGCUCUUAUCAGUAAGCCCUUUACUGAUUUAUUAAAAAAAGAUGCCUUUCAGUGGUCUUCUAUGGCACAACAUGCUUUUGAAAGCUUAAGGAAUGCUAUGUCCUCUGCCCCUGUGUUAGCUAUGCCUGAUUUUAGCCAACCAUUUAUUGUUGAAACUGAUGCCAGCAGC